CUGCUCUGAGACUCAGACCAUGUUGCCUUGGGCAAAUCAGAAAAGUAGAAGCUUUGUCUGUAUUUGUGGACUAAGAAAAUAUACAUCCGGAGGGGAGCCAAGAUGGCCGAAUAGGAACAGCUCCGGUCUACAGCUCCCAGCGUGAGCGACCCAGAAGACGGGUGAUUUCUGCAUUUCCAUCUGAGGUACCGGGUUCAUCUCACUAGGGAGUGUCAGACAGUGGGCGCAGUUUGGAGUUGUUGCUACCUGUGUCUACCCAGCCAAGGACUUUAUGCCUCAGGCCUUCAUAUUCAGGACAUGUUUCUCAUGAAAAUUUUGGAAAUGUGAAAUUACAGAAAAGCCCAAAGGAAAACAAUGAAAAUCUCUUGCAACUACAGUACUUAGAAAAAUGCCUAUUAUCAUUUUGUUUUAUAUCCCUGCUGUCUUUAUAUGUACAACUUGCAUUUUGCAAGAGUUUAGAAAGUUGUAACCUUAUUUUUUAAAUCAGUGCAUAACUAAUAUUUUUUAUGCUAUUAAAAUAUUAUUUUAAGAUGUAAUAUCUAAUCACAUGUCUGCAUCAUAAUCUACUUAAUCUCCCCUUGUUCACAAUUAAGUAGUUUCCAAUUUUUCACUAUCAAAGUAAUGCUACAACAAGAAGGAUAUCCUGGUAUAUAAAUAAUUUUACACAACACAGUUAUUUCCUUGACAUAAAUACCUAGAAUAGAAUUAGUCAAACAUAAGAAAUUAAUAUUUAAUACCUCCGAUACAUCCUGCCAUGCUGCCCACAAAAAGACCAUACCAAGUUACACCACCACCGAAAAUGUGUUAAAGGAUCAGUUUGCUCAAAACUUAAAUAAAAUAGAGUAAGUUAUUUUAUAUCUACACAUUUAAUGAGUUGAAAUGUAUCCUCUGCAUUACUUUCACAUGUACUUCUGCCAAUUAAUAUAAAAUUCAUGUGUGCAAAAAUUAAAUAAUAGAGUAACACAUCAUUACAGAUUCCAAAAAAAGCAAAAAAUAUUUACUAAUUGCACAAUUACUAAUUGUAAGUCACUUUUUUGGACAUCUUCCUAAAUAGUAUGUCUUUUCUUUAUAAUAUAAUGUCUUUAUUAAGGGUACACUGAAUUUGACAGUUUGGCCUAAGUGUGACAAACAACUAAUUGAGACUAAAAUACUAUGAAGGCUCUCAAAAUGACAAAUGAUUUCCAUCUGUGUCUCCAUUGUUUCAAAUUUGAUUCAUAUAUUGCUUAUCAGUAACAUAAGUAAUUCUUAUUUUUUUCAUUUCUACUCACUUUUGUGAAAUGAAAAGGACAAAAUAUGAUGAAACAUUCAAAUAAUUUCAUAUACAUUACUAUGUUGAGAGAGAUAGAAGCACUGCUGAAACUGAAAUACAUAUUGGCAGACUAGCAGCACCAACCUACCACAUUUAAAAAUAUUAUUUUACCAUGUGAAUGUUCACAUUAAAUAUAAUAAAGAUAAUUUAGGAAUAUCAAUGUCAUGCCUAGUCAAGUAUAUGAAAGCCAUAUAAUCUCAUUGAUGCUUUAUUUCUCAUAUCUUUGAUUGCUAGCAAUGGUGAGCCCAUUUCCAUAAGUGUUUUGGCCACUGAGGUUCUUUGUGAAUUUUCAAUUCAUGUAUUUUGUCUGUAUUAUGUUGGAAUGUGCAUAAUUUGUUUAUUGAGUUAUAAAUGCUACUUACAUAUUCAGAAUAUAAAAACCAUUAUAGUUGAUGUGAAUAAAAAUACCUAGUUGGCUAAAUGUCUUUAGGUUUUAUGUUGUUUUUUUUAUAAUGGAUCUGCAGACAUUUUUAAUUUUCAUGUAUAUAUUCAAAUAUCUUGAUAUGAUUUGGCUCUGUGUCCCCGCCCAAAUCUCAUGUCAAAUUGUUAGACCUGGUGGAAAGUGAUUGGAUCAUGGGGAUGGUUUCUAAUGACUUAGCAUCAUCCCCUUAAUGCUGUCUCAUGAUAGAAUUCUCGCAAGAUCUGGUUGUUUAAAAGCGUGCGGCACCUCCCCUUCUCGCUCUCUUCAUCUUGCUCCAGUCAUGUAAGAUGCACCUGCUUCCUUUUUGCCUUCUGCCAUGAUUGUAAGUCUCCUGAGGCUUCCCCAGUCAUGCUUCUUGUACACCUCAUGGAACCGUGAGCCAAUUAAACCUCU
rnacentral:lncRNA from 1 species